AACGAACGCUGGCGGCAUGCCUAACACAUGCAAGUCGAACGAGACCUUCGGGUCUAGUGGCGCACGGGUGCGUAACGCGUGGGAACCUGCCCUUAGGUUCGGAAUAACUCCCCGAAAGGGGUGCUAAUCCCGGAUAAUGUCUUCGGACCAAGGAUUUAUCGCCUUUGGAUGGGCCCGCGUUGGAUUAGCUAGUUGGUAGGGUAAAAGCCUACCAAGGCGACGAUCCAUAGCUGGUCUGAGAGGAUGAUCAGCCACACUGGGACUGAGACACGGCCCAGACUCCUACGGGAGGCAGCAGUGGGGAAUAUUGGACAAUGGGCGAAAGCCUGAUCCAGCAAUGCCGCGUGAGUGAUGAAGGCCUUAGGGUUGUAAAGCUCUUUUACCCGGGAUGAUAAUGACAGUACCGGGAGAAUAAGCUCCGGCUAACUCCGUG
rnacentral:rRNA from 1 species